UACGUAGGGACCAAGCGUUGUUCGGAUUUACUGGGCGUAAAGGGCGCGUAGGCGGCCUGCUAAGUCGAACGUGAAAUCCCUGGGCUCAACCCAGGAACUGCGUCCGAUACUGGUUGGCUUGAAUCCGGGAGAGGGAUGCGGAAUUCCAGGUGUAGCGGUGAAAUGCGUAGAUAUCAGGAGGAACACCGGUGGCGAAGGCGGGUCUCUGGGCCGAUACUGACGCUGAGGAGCGAAAGCGUGGGGAGCGAACAGG
rnacentral:rRNA from 1 species